rnacentral:misc_RNA from 1 species
AAAUCUCAACCUCCUCGGUUUCUUCUGGACCCCGAAGGAGGCUUGGACUUUGGAGGGCUUUGCUGGACUUGAAACGUCAGCUCCUCUCAAAUGAAUUAGCGAGGUCCCCUUUGCCGAUCCUCGACGUGUGAUAAGACGCUUCCACGUCUCGGUCUUUGGCUCUGUCGCCUCUUGGGACCUGCUUCCAAUCGUCUCUUGAUGAGACAACGUUCGAGCACGCCUCGACCCACGUAC